GAUGAACGCUGGCGGCGUGCCUAAUACAUGCAAGUCGAGCGAACAGACGAGGAGCUUGCUCCUCUGACGUUAGCGGCGGACGGGUGAGUAACACGUGGAUAACCUACCUAUAUGACUGGGAUAACUUCGGGACACCGGAGCUAAUACCGGAUAAUAUAUUGAACCGCAUGGUUCAAUAGUGAAAGACGGUUUUGCUGUCACUUAUCGAUGGAUCCGCGCUGCAUUAGCUAGUUGGUAAGGUAACGGCUUACCAAGGCAACGAUGCGUAGCCGACCUGAGAGGGUGAUCGGCCACACUGGAACUGAGACACGGUCCAGACUCCUACGGGAGGCAGCAGUAGGGAAUCGGCCGCAAUGGGCGAAAGCCUGACGGAGCAACGCCGCGUGAGUGAUGAAGGUCUUCGGAUCGUAAAACUCUGUUAUUAGGGAAGAACAAAUGUGUAAGUAACUGUGCACGUCUUGACGGUACCUAAUCAGAAAGCCACGGCUAACUACGUG
rnacentral:rRNA from 1 species